rnacentral:rRNA from 1 species
CGGAAGUACUGGGCGUAAAGCGCACGUAGGCGGCUAUUCAAGGCAGAGGUGAAAGCCCGGGGCUCAACCCCGGAACUGCCUUUGAAACUAGGUAGCUAGAAUCUUGGAGAGGUCAGUGGAAUUCCGAGUGUAGAGGUGAAAUUCGUAGAUAUUCGGAAGAACACCAGUGGCGAAGGCGACUGACUGGACAAGUAUUGACGCUGAGGUGCGAAAGCGUGGGGAGCGAACAGG